rfam:Schistosoma haematobium scaffold908_7, whole genome shotgun sequence.
GCACUGCUGAGGAGUCCUAUACUAGGACGAUACGGCCGUCCAGUGU